CUUCACCGAGCCGAGCAGCAGCGGAGGCCCGUUCUCCCGCCCCUGCCCGUAGGUCGCCAGCACCGCCUGCGCCUC
rnacentral:antisense_RNA from 1 species